AAGAUAUGUAGGCCUAUGGGUUUCAAUGGAGAGAAAGUAAUUAUCUUCUGGUCCAAGUCGUUUACAUGCCCUGGAUUACACAUACAUAUGUUUGUGGAUUUAAAUGCUAAUUUUUCAUGUCAAGACUUACUUUGACCGUUUAUUGUGCAAUUGUUCAGUUAAAGGCUGUAGAGAAAACACAAUGAGAAAGACUACAUGUCUCGUAUGUGCCGUCACGCUCCCUGCGACUGGCGUGGACAAGACCGACAAUCUCCCCAUCGGCAUAACUGAAACUCUCCACAUGCCCCGACUUAUAAUGGUUUUCACCUCUUUCGAUGCUUUUA